UCCGAACCAGUGAAUCGCGGGCUGCAGAAGCUGAAUGUGCGCACUUAACCACUGUGCCAUGGGGCCGGCCCCUAGCCAGUCAUUUGAUAUCAGCCCUUCUUCCUAGCAUCUUCAGAUGUGGCAUGAUGAAGAGCAUCCAGUUUAGUGGACUAUAGGGGAAGCUGGAAUAUACAUAUGAUUGAAAAAGAGUUAUAAACAAAGAAUGGGGUCAAGUACUAAAAUUUGAUUACCUAGACUUUACUUGCAGUUUUCCCUUCAUAAAUUGGUAAAAACAACAAAAACAAAAACAAUUUACUCUGAGGCCUUGUGGAGUUAACAGUCUAGUCUUCCUUUUUGAGCUAUCAGGCAGGAUACUGUGACUGAUUCCACCCCUUGGGAUCGAAUUCAUUUCUUUGACCCCAAUGGCUCUUACAGCAAUGGGGAUCCUGUGUAUGACACACCAGGAGGGUAAUAUUUGGACCAUGAUGAAAUGAUUAAUCUUGUUAGAAAUUUUGAUAAGAUAGUCAUUUAAAAAAUACAAUGGGUUAGAAGAGCAUAACCUGAAAAGAUUAUUUUAGUAUUUUGCCACUCAAAAGUGUUUCUUUUUUAAAGUUGAUUCAAUUAGCAUCCAAAUAAGUAGUUGAUUUAGUCCGCUUGAUCCAAUUACUUAUCUUUAAGACAUCUCCCCUGCUCUUUUAUCACCAUUCAUCAAGCCGUCCUGACACGAGUAGGUAAAGCUGUGGGACAGAUAGGUCCCUUGUACUAUACCCUUGGUGCUUAGUUCAUUUCCUUUAAUCAAUGUUGAUUCUUCUAGUCAAGGAACUCUUCAAGGAAGUAUGUGAAGCAAGGCUGUGGAACUAACAUGUGAUUUUUUUCUUCGAAAAAAUACUUGGUUCAUCAUUAAUGAACUUGAUCAAUGGCUCCAUAGUGAAUUCAGGCUUUACGGACUCUGAUUCCAUAUUAGAGUUUGAGCUUUGAAGAAGAAAAUCUAAAAUUUUAAAAUCUGUUUUUUUGACAUUGAUUUUUAUGGCAACUAGUUUAGUUAUGGAUUAUAAGUACCUCACUUCAAUUCUAGUUUCAUCAAAGUUUCCUCAUUUUUUUAUUAGAAAAUUUUCUAAUGGAAUAAAUGUCUCUUGAAAGAUUCUUACUCUGCCCAUCAUGGUGGUGUGGCCUGAAGCCUAAUCAGAAAUAACUGACCAUGAAGUGCUGGUCUUUUUAAAAUUUUUAACAACUGUGAGAGAAUAGUUUAACUAAAAAAGUAGAUUUUCUAAGGCAUCCAUUUAAAAAUAAUUAAGUACCUAUCUUACACACAAACACACACACGAACGCACACACACCAUGAAAAGCAUGGGCCUUUUGUAAGAGAGUAAUUACAACUCCUGUUUUAUAUUAGAUUGAAGCACGUACUUGCAACACUGUAAUGAAAAUGGAUAUUUGAAUGUGUGUGCGUAUGUGUAUGUGUGUACAUUCAAUUGAAAUGCUUAAAAUUACGUGAACCACAUCCUCCCACCCCUAAGUAGAAGGUUUCCUUAUCGUCGUCAUCUGAGACACAGCAUUUCUUAGUUCAUCAUCAUAUGGAAUUCUGAUGCCAUCCUCUUACCCCCAGAAUCCCCCAAUUCAAGGAUAAUAGUUCUUCCUGGUGUUAGAAAUUCAAAUGCACAAGUACUAGCAGUUCAAACUUCUAUGUUUGUGAUAAAUAGGUAACUCCUUAUUUCAUAAGCUGCUUGGCCUGUUGAAGUCAGCCCCAGGACCAUCCCCGGCGAUCCUUACCCCUGGAGCCUCUUAGUAACGUACAUGUGCUGGCCCCAGGAUUGGGGAAGCCAACAUCAGUAUCCAGCGUUAGCAGCCAUCUUCCCUCAUUCUCUCCCCAGAACUUUUCAAUUAAUGUUUAAACUCCUUAUUUCAGAUUUAUAUUAUGUCCUAUCAGUCUUGGAGUGAUUUACAACUUUCCCAUGUAAUUUUCAUUGUGGUUCUUUCCAGCAGUGAAAUUCCUAUCUCUUCUUUAGAAGAAACUUCUCUACUCCUCAUUUUGAACUUGAGAAAUGUUACUGACUUCCUGCAUCUUUUGCUAUGUUUGAAGAGGGCUGACUUUCAUAGUUUCCAUACUUUCUUUACCUGAUUGAAUACAUUUUCAAUUCUGUUUCAUUCCAUAAGAGUGACUGGAUGCAGAGUAUGGACAAUAAACAUUUUAAAUGUACAUAGAUAAUUUUAUUGAGAAUAUUUUUCUUUCAGGGUGUCGACAGUAACUUUGAUGGAUAAACAGUCUCUUAAAGAUAGUGUGUCAUUGUACCUUUUGUGGAGCUUUCACGUGGGACGUAGGACAGGGUAUGCCUACCAUUACCCAGGAAAAGAUAGAGUGCUAAGAAUAUUGGGAUUAGAUUUGAGAGAAAUGCAUAUAACCUAGAUCAAAUUAAAAGUAGAAAACAAAUAUAUAGCAGAAGAUUUUUCUUCUAUCAAGACCUCUUUUCUCAUCAACAAAAUAGCAGGAUUGGAUUUGAUCAAUGAUUUUUUUAAGCUUUUUUUUUUUUUUUAACUUUGGAGCCAUUUCUUAAAUGGAAAUAUUGCCCUUAAACCUAAUGAGUAUGUGGCAAUUUCAAAAUAUUGCCUUAAAUUCAUUGAGAAUAUUUUCAUUAGGUUAACAUCUAUGUACCCUGCCCUGAGUCUGGGCAGGUUUGUGACUGCUUCAGCCAAUAGUGUUUGGUGGAAGAGAGGCUAUGUAACUUCUUAGGCUGAUUUGUAAAAGGCCAUGCAGCUGCUGCCUUGUGGAACACUUGCUCUUGUGACUGAGCUUACUAGGGAAGAAGCCCAACUGCCCUGAAGCUAUCAGACUGUGUGGAAGUCCAACCCGCAUGGAGAAGCCACGUAUAGGAAUUCGGGUGGACAAGCUAGGUCAGCCGUCCUAGCUCAGGCACUGGGAUCCCAUCUCACAUCCACUUGAGUCAUCCCCAGCUGUGUGAGAUUCUCAGUUGAGGCCCCACAUAUCAUAGACCAGAGAGAAGCCAUCCCUGCUAUGCCGUGUCUGAAUUCCUGAGACUCACAGAUUUUGUGAGCAUAAUAAAGUUGAUGGUUUUUAAAAAAAAUUCCAUUGAGUUUGGGAAACAUUAGUUAAGCAGGAGUAUAUGACCAGAACAAAAGUGUAAAGAUAAUAUUGGAGUUUCUUUGGCUGAAGUAAAGGACCUAUGGAAUUCUGGAAAUUGCCACCCUGAAAACUGCUUAUGAUAUCUAGCAACCCUGAGAAAAAUAGGACCAAUAGUGGCCUUUUGUGAACUAAUCACAACCUGUAUGACCUGGGAGACAUAUUCCAAAUAUUUUUAAAAUGUUGAUUCUUGAUACUAAACAUUUCCUGGAAACACAGUAUGUUUCUAAAAUACCUUUAAUAAGAAAGUUCACCAUUUAAAAUUACCUCCUGUGAUCUGAGGUUAUAGAGGGCAAAAUUCCACAUGGAUAGGUUGUGGUCUCUUUGAGGAUCCCUCUUACUCUAGUGGAACUUUCCAGUUUGUUAUUGACUCCAUGUUUCAAUGUCAGUAGGAGCAUUCCGUCAAAUUUCUCUGUGAAUUCAUUCACAUCCAGAAAAAUGAUACUGUCUUUAUUUAUAGCUUCUGCUUAGAAUUUAAUAUUUAUAAGAGUUUGGUGACAUUUCCAUAGUAAAAUGACAUGAGGACAAUAAAAUAUUAUAGAAGCAGAAAAAGUUCAAAUGCAUUUCAUUUCCAUUGAUGACACUAGUAUAUCACACUGGAGGAUGAUGGAGCAAUUAAUUAAAAUCAAGAAGAGCAAAAACUAGACAGUGUCUGAAGCAAAGAGAAACUAUAGAUUCCUCUUGGGAACCCAAAGCUCUUCACUCGCCUUCCUUUCCCACUUUGUAUGAUAUAAAGUCUCCCUUCUCAGUUAUUGAGGCAGAAAACGUCAUUACUGAAAAUCCAGAAGAGGACCAAGAAUGGACCUGUUUGGUUAUAUUUAUGUUACAUUUACCUCUCAGACCAAGGCGUAUUUUGAAAGUGGAGGAGGGGGAACAUGGGGUAGGAUUCGUGAUCUGAUGGAUAAAAAGUAGAUUGGACCAAAUAUGCGACCUUGCUACAGAAACUUCUGCUACGUUAAGACAGUCUCUUUAGUUUUGUAAUAGUUCUUUAAGUCAGUGCUUCCCCAAAUUUUAUGUGCAUAACAAUUACCUUGGGAUCACGUUAAAAUGUAGAUUCUGAUUCAGUGGUUUGGGGCCUUAGUUCAAUGGGGCCUUAGAAUCUGCAUUUCUAAUGAACCCAAGAUGCUGCCCAGGACCACAUUUAGAGGAGGAAGAGUCUCAAUAACUAGCCGCUGGACCUGGCAGACAGAUGUGGCACGCUAGCCUUAACUCUGCCUCUCGUAAAAGGAACUGAAUGUCAGUAUAAAUGCAAAACCUGCACAUAGCGCUUAAACUAAUCAAAUCAAUGAGUACUCAAACUUAGUCAUUACUGUCCCUAAGUGCCUCUGCAACUUUCUCAUAAGGGGUCCACUUCUGAAAAUGACACUUCUCCUCAAAAUGUGGGUGUUGUUAUAGCUCAAGUGGAUACCAAUUGUUUUAUUUUAUACAAAAAUGCAAAGCACUAGCUCCAUGCAGACACCAUCUGAAAGUUUGCGUGAAACACUUCUCCUUUAGCUAUGGACCCCAGAAUCAAGGUGCAUACUUUUCAGAUAAUUAAAAUGUCUUAUUAUGCUUUUUCUCAAAUAAUUAUAUUUUGGAAGGGAAGUCAUUGAUUUAAAAUUUCAGUGCAGACAUAGUUUUAAAAUUUUAUUUUCAAAGAGAAUUCGAAGUGGCAGAUAUGUACCUUGGAUGGAUUGCCAAAGAAAUAUUCACCCAGUAGAAUCUUCCAAUAUAAUAAAAUUAUUAGCAUACAGAAAGGUUUGUAGAUAUAGAAAUAGGGUUCUGAAUCAGUGUAAUUUGUUUUUUUCAAAGAACAUGUGCAGUAGUUUGACAAUUUCAAUUGAUGUAACAUGAAUGAGUAGCAUUUGAAAAACAGUUAUAUUUCAGAGAGGCUUAUCUUUUCCUGAAAUACAAUGAAUAAAGAGAUGUGAAAUAAGACUUUGGUAAUCUGAAUUUCAGAAAAAGUUAGUAUGAUGGAAAAAUAGUUUUUGUUUAUUGUUUUUCAUGAAUCUAUGCUUAUCUGCACUAUAAAUGUAUAUAUCUUUCUAUAUAAUCUUCUAACAAGAGGUGGGAAGAGAAUGAAGAAAUCAAGUGUCUGAAAUGUCUGGAGUCUUGAGCAACAAAUGAGUCCCCAGCUAAGCUGCUCUCUGAAAUAAUCUCAUGUCGUUAAGCAAGUCUCUAAUUAGUACUUGCAGAUGUUUUUGAUGUCUUUGAACUCUCUUUCAGAGACACAGUUACAGCCCAUUAAUAAUGUACCUGUCGAUGGAAAUAUUUUAGGUAGUUAUCUGUGUAGCGUGACAAGUUGGGGAAAGGCAGAAAUUGGUUUAAGAACUGAAGCUGUGUUAGAUCUCCAGCUGUGACUCUAACACUAAUCUCACACUUUAUUACAGAGAAGAGAAGGAAAGUAAUCGGGUUCACAAAGGCUGCCACACAUGGUGCCGAUGGCCACAGAAUGACCACCAAUGGGUGUCUGCCCUAACACUGCCCUGGCGGCAGGUAGCAGGGCAAUUAAUGAGAUCGUGUAUGUAAAGGGCUUUGAUCUCUUUGGGGGAAGUGACUGUGCAAGCCCAUAGCUUUAUGUUAUUAUUAUGGCUUUUCCUCUAACCUAUGAUUUUUCUACAUUAUGCAGGCUUGUCAAUUACCCACCUGUGUCCUGUUCAUGCCACCAUGAUUUUAUUUCCCAUUUUUAAAGUUUAUGCUUCUAAUUGAGAGACAUUGAUGUUUCCAGAUUCAUCCUGGCAGAUUAAUACCCAGCAAGAGGGACCUGCUGUCAAUGGGCAUUUUGAAUUAUGUGUUUAAAAUUGCCUUUGAUGGCAAGGAUGCCAAAUUAUGCACUUCACUAAAACCAUUUCGUGCUUCUUCGCUAGUGAUGUGAUUGGAAACUGCAGAUGUUUGCUAUCAUCUUUUACUGCAUGUGUUUGGUGGCAUUCCAGUGGGGCUGCUGCAGGUAUACCAGAAGCCUGGCCAGGAACCCCAUCAUUCACACCAGGCACAUCAACCCUGACUUUAGUAACUUCAGGGGAUGCUUCUGGCAAAACUUCAUCCCCAUAUAGACAGAAAAAUGAGUGUUUCCACUGUGCUGUUAUUCAAGAGUGAAAAAGACUGCCUGCCUAGAUGUUAAACUGACUGCCUGCCAUGAAAUCUCAAUACUGUUCAGUGAAUUAAAGACUUUGUAUUUCCAAAAAGGUACAUGCCAAUUUCAAAUACAUUACUGCAGAGGGGAGUAAUAAAUUUAGCCAAUGGUAGCCAUAGAUGCAUGUCAGUGAAUGAAUUAAUGAUAUUUAUUGAGCCACUACUAUUUGCUAGACAAAACUAAAUAGCUAUUUUGUACCAGGCACUACACUUGGCAUAUUUAAAUAUAUAAUAAAUUAAUCACCACAGCAACCCUGUAGAGUUUAUAGGUGAAUGAAUAGAGUCUUUAUUUGGCAUUUUUAUUCACUCAGCAUAUGUUGACUGUUUACUUCGGCAUAGUGUCAAGUCCUGGAGAAUAUUACUGUGUAAGACAUUCAUCUCUCCUGUCUCCUUGGAGUUGAGAGCUAGUGAGAGAAAGUGAAUUUGAAAGAAGAUGGUUACCACGUAUGACAAGUGCACUUAUGAGGGAAGUGGAGAAUGUUGAGACACAGACUUAGGGACUAAGGGAGGAGCUCCUUGGGGAGAGAUCAUCAAAGUAAGAGUAAGGCAGGGAAAGGGGGCAGUGGGAAGAGUGAUCCUGGCAGAGGGAACACGGAAAAAGCCCUGGAGAUGUAGAAACACUGAAGGGCAGCUGAAAAUGAUUUUCUUUCUUUCUUUCUUUUAUUUGGUGAGGAAGAUUGGCCCUGAGCUAACAUCUGUUGCCAAUCUUCUUCUUUUUGCUUGAGGAAAAUUGUCGCUGAGCUAACAUCCAUGCCAACUUUCCUCCGUUUUGUAAGUGGGACUCUGCCAGAAUAUGGCUUGAUGAGUGAUAUGUGUGUCCGAGCCUGGAGCCAGACCAGCGAACCCUGAGCCACUGAAGCGGAGCAUGCAAACUCAGCAACACCACCACUGGGCCGGCCCCUGAAAAUGAUUUUUUUAUAAUCAAAUGUACAAUAUGAGGAAAGAAUGACAUAUUAGUGUCAUAGGGCCUGGAUGUAGCAGAGCUGGACUGUGUGCUCAGUAUUCCGGGCUCAGUAACUCUACUGUUAUCAUUCCCUACAUUCUUUCUCCUUCAUCAACUUACUGUGGGAAGUUAACAGCAGAGAUUUGAAGAAUGGGAUCAAAAAGGACCUUUGGAAAGAAGAUUGAAGAAGCGAAUAGAGAUAAUUCCAGAGGUACCCAAAUAAGAUGGCCAUAGGUGGGAUACACCUUGCAUCUGGUGGCCUUUGAUGCUGGUGGUUGUUUUGAGUAGGAUGACAAAAAAAAAGGCAAGAAAAGGAAGGAGGUAGUGGGACCUAGAAGAAAAAUUUCACAUUUUCUAAAUUCUAUGUAGAUCAUGUUGCAGUUGAUACUGUAGCCCCUGGUAGUGUUAUUUUCUUCUUUAGAACUGGAGGGUAGCUAAAGCCAUUUGUUUUUGGCCAUCCCGUUCCACUCCACUCAUAUACACAGAGAUGGGUAAGAGAUUAGCAGUCAGCUGGUUUAAUCUCUGACCCAGCAGUGUGAAGGUCUUGACAUGAGAAGAAGCAUGGCAUAUUUAGGGACCUGAAGGAAUGCCAGUGUGUUUGGAGAGCAGUGAAAGAAAGAUAGAGCAGCAGUAUGCGACAAAGGUGAGAAAGAAGGGUGGGUUUGUGUUGAGCUUGACAAAUUGAGGAUUGAAAUUUCCCAAAGACAGCAAUAGGAAGCCAUAGAAAGGCACUAUGUACGGCAAGACGAUAAUCAGAUAUUUAUUUAGGAUCACUGUGGUUAUUGUGGAGAGAAUAGUUUGGAGGGGAACAAGAGUGCAUGGAGGUAGACAAGAUGGGGGAUUAUUGGAGUGAUCUGGGCAAGGGAUGAUAAUAGCUUGAACUAGGAUAGUGGCAGCAUGAAUGGAGCCAUGAAGACAGACUGAGGAGAUAUCCAAGAGGUGGAAUUGGCUGGUCUUGGUGAGGGAUCUGUGGGUGGGAUGGUGAGAAGGAAGAGAUAAAUGUUAAGGACAACUCCCAUGUGUUCUGACUUUUAUAGCUGAGUGCAUCUUGAUGCCAUCACCAAAGUUAAGAGUGCUGCUUUGGACUUGGAUUUGUGGCAAUGAGGGAAGCAUUCCUGAUGGAGCCAGAAUCACCGUCAGAAAACUUUGUAUUGAAAGUUCCUUCUUCGUAUCCAGGCAUCUGACUUCUUACAGUUUUUCUAUUUUUAAUUCUGGUUCUGCCAAGCACAGUUCUGCCAUGAGAUUCUGCUCCAGAAACUCAAUCCUGGUGUUUCUUCUCACUGCAAAUACCUGUUUGCUUUGUAGGAGGACUUGUUGGAUCUUGAACUAAGUUUUGCCUGUGCUUUAUUUUAUGCAACAUCAUCUAUUGGGUGUGUAGUCCACAGCACUAGGUUUGGCACUAUGGCUUUUACAAAGAUGCUAUUGUAUGGUCCUGGCUCUCAAAGGAAUUUAUUUUCUUAUUGUGGAGCCAUUAUCUUAUUUUCUCCAGGAAAAAUAGUAGCAAUAAUUCAUGGCCUUUCUGUACAUGAUUUAUGAAAAGGAGAUAUGGAGGUCCAUGUGGAAGUCCUCUCUCUUCUUUGUACACAGAUAACACAAUCGUCUUUCAUGAAUAAAAUUAGAGGCUUGAAAAGAAAAGAUAUUUAGAGAAGGAACUAUAUGGCAUGUGCUAGGAAAUCAACAGGAGGUUUAAAAAACCUCAUGAAGAAGACCAGCUUUGCCAACCAAAAUUCAGCUCUGGAAGUGAGCUUUUAAAAUUGUCUCUGAUAAAUCCCUGGGGUGAGGGAAAGCAAAGGCACAGGAGAGAAGACCUUUAUUGGCAUGUGGCUUUGUUUUAUUCCCAGCAUCUAGUCAUACCUGUUAGAAGAAAAUGAAUACUGGAGGUUUGCAUGAAUGGAUUAAUAAAUGGUGGAUGGAUGGAUGGUUGGAUGAAUAAAUGAAUGAAUGAACUGAGGUAGUUCACUCCAGGGGAGGACUCACAUAUGGGACCUAUCAAGUAGGAGGUGUUGAAGGAUGAGUUCCCAAGGGUGACAGGGUCACCCAUGUGGAGUAUUGAGAGCUUAUUAGGGAAGAAAACUAUGAACAUCUAAAUGUCAUAGAGGCUACCUUCCUUAAUUGAAUCCCCAAUUUUAGAAGAAAGUAGCUAUAAUAAAAAUUCUGUAGACACUGA